rnacentral:lncRNA from 1 species
UUUUCCUUACCUCCUCCUUAACAUUCCCUCAAGGCGUUCUGCUUCCUUUUGAUACAACGCAAAUACAAGCACUCUGUUCCUGAAAUCCAGAUAUAGAGGCACGGAUGAUUAAUAUUUCUCUUGAGAAACAUCUAAGCAUGCAUCUACCAUAGUCUGAUGCAAUCCAGUAACGAAACUGAAGAGAUAACAAGACAGACGGUGUACAUCUGGGUCUUGUGAUAUUUUUCUAGCAAUGCAAGCAA